UACGGAGGAUGCAAGCGUUAUCCGGAUUCAUUGGGUUUAAAGGGUGCGCAGGCGGGAAUGUAAGUCAGUGGUGAAAAACUGCCGCUUAACGGUAGUCUUGCCAAUGAUACUGCGUUUCUUGAGUAUGGUUAAGGUAGGCGGAAUGUGCAGUGUAGCGGUGAAAUGCAUAGAGAUUGCACAGAAGGCCGAUUGCGAAGGCAGCUUACUGAACCAUAACUGACGCUCAUGCACGAAAGCGUGGGUAUCAAACAGGA
rnacentral:rRNA from 1 species